GACGAGUCCCAAAUAGGACGAAACGCGCGUC
rfam:Schistosoma rodhaini strain Burundi genome assembly, scaffold: SROB_scaffold0007654